rnacentral:sRNA from 1 species
GCGCUGAAGGCGUUGGGGCUCCUGCAGUUUUGGGGCAGCCACAGGCGCCCAGGGUUUCGUGCCGCCCAGCCCAGGACAGUCUUCCCGGUGCAGUUUCUGAUGCGGGGAGGGCAGUGCUGCCUUCCAGUCACCAGGACCAGUGCUCAGCCCGCCUGCUUGACCCCCUUACUUAGCUGGGGUCCAAUCCAUACCCAAUUUAGAUGAUUCAGACGAUGGGAUUUGAAACUUUUGAACUGGGUGCGACUUAAGCACUGCCCUGCUGUGCUACUCCUGCAAAGCCCAGGUGAGCAACGAGGACUGCCUGCAGGUGGAGAACUGCACCCAGCUGGGGGAGCAGUGCUGGACCGCGCGCAUCCGCGCAGUUGGCCUCCUGACCGUCAUCAGCAAAGGCUGCAGCUUGAACUGCGUGGAUGACUCACAGGACUACUACGUGGGCAAGAAGAACAUCACGUGCUGUGACACCGACUUGUGCAACGCCAGCGGGGCCCAUGCCCUGCAGCCGGCUGCCGCCAUCCUUGCGCUGCUCCCUGCACUCGGCCUGCUGCUCUGGGGAUCCGGCCAGCUAUAGGCUCUGGGGGGCCCCGCUGCAGCCCACACUGGGUGUGGUGCCCCAGGCCUCUGUGCCACUCCUCACACACCCGGCCCAGUGGGAGCCUGUCCUGUUUCCUGAGGCACAUCCUAACACAAAUCUGACCAUGUAUGUCUGCACCCCUGUCCCCCACCCUGACCCUCCCA